ensembl:ncRNA lncRNA:CR44298 long non-coding RNA:CR44298
AUGCAACCUGAACGAGCUGGAACAGUUCUCGAUUUCAUAUCACAACAUGAAGAUCACGAUUAUUCUGGCGCUAACUCUAGUUGCGGUUUGCUUAAUGCAGGUUCGAUCUAUUCCGAAGGAUUCCGAGAAUAGACUUCUGCAAAAGGAGCUUCAAAGGAGUCUUAUCCAGGAUGCGAAGGAACAUGUCCGCCCAAGGCGACAGUCCUGCAUUGAGCGGUGCAAUUCCCUCUGUUCGAAGAAGGGCUUUAAAGGUGUUUGUGUUAAAGGUUUGUGCCGUUGCACUUGAUUUUAAUAAGGAG